rnacentral:lncRNA from 1 species
CGUGCUACUUUGGUCUAGGGCCAACCUACGAGUGCCAACCCAAGGGUGCCUCUUUCCUCUGUCUGAUCUGUUGCCUGGGCUCCUGGUUGGCUGAACUCAGCUGACGCCAGAGGGGAAAGGAGCUCUGUUGACAAUGGUCCAUCCAGGUCUGCGUGCUGAAAGGGGAAGGCUGGGUUUGGAAAGGCAAAUGGAAGAUGUCUGAUAGAAUCAUUUACCUCCUCAUCUAGAUGAUCCAUGUAACCAAACAGUUUUGUUUGGUACACAUUUCCCCCACUUUGCCCCAGGACAACCAGAAAAAAUACUUUGCUAAGUGUCUUCUUCUUCUUUAUUUUUUUUUUGUUCUUUUGCCCUUUUAGGGUCGCACCUGGGACACAUGGAGGUUCCCAGGCUAGGGGUCCAAUCCGAGCUGUAGCCACCGGCCUAUGCCAGAGCCACAGCAACUCAGGAUCCAAGCCGUGUCUGUGACCCACACCACAGCUCACGGCAAUGCCGGAUCCUUAACCCACUGAGCGAGGCCAGGGAUUGAAACCACAACCUCAUGGUUCCUAGUUGGAUUCGUUUCCAUGUGCCACGACAGGAACUCCCUAAGUGUCUUUUUAAAACAAGGUACAUCAAGCCUGCAGAAUCCCAUAUUUAAGUUGGCAGUGGCUGAGCAAGAACUAAAUUAGUCCAGGUGUCCCUGCUGUUUGUCAUGUGCUGCUUCUCUGAUGAUGCGUUUUGUUGUUGUUUGCCUUUCAGUGUUUUUGAAACCAGGAUGUGAUUUACAACCUAGCGUAGAUUUAGAAUUAGGAUCAUUCCCUACCCCCUCCACAUCUACGUUUUGAAAAAUUUCAAACCUUUCAGAAAAGUAUCCUAUGCAAUGAACACCUAGCUUGCUUUUUCCGUUAACAAUAACUUGGAGUUCCUCAUUCUUUUUAGGAUUGUUAUUAACUCUUAAAUAGGUACAAAACCAUAUUUAUAAUAAAGUAAAUUGAGGAAUCGUACUGCAAGUACUUGUGUGUAUCAGCCUGAUUUGAGGAACUGAAUUUUAUCUUAACUUUCUAAGGAGCCCCUCUGAUCUCAGAGAUUGAUGCCACUCUUCCGAACUGUUUAUUUUUUUCUUUCUUUCUUUUUUUUUUUUUUUUUUUUUCUUUGUCUUUUAGGUUCAUACCUACAGUGUAUGGAAAUUCCCAGGCUAGGGGUCAAAUCGGAGCUGUAGUUGUGGCUGUCAGCCUAAGCCACAGCCAUAGCAAUGCCAUAUCUGAGCUGUUGUCUUUGACCUAUGCUGCAGCUCAUGGCAACGCCAGAUCCUCACCCCAUUGAGUAAGGCCAGGGAUUGAACCUGAAUCCUCGUGAAUACUAGUUGGAUUCUUAACCUGCUGAGCCACAAUGGGACCUCCUGCUUUUCUUUGUAGACUUACCACAGCCAUUUGUGUCACCAGUUGAUCUAUCAUUUGUUUCAUGUGCUUGAAAUUUGUGGGUUCACACAGUAUGCCUUUUUCUGAGCCUUUUUCAGUUUUAUUGUGUUAAUGAACAAAAAUUGUUCAGACAUUUGAUAAAGGUGAUUAGGAAGAUUCUAUUCAAGAGAGGCUACUACAGUGGGGGCUUUAUAGCAGGAGAGAGAGAUCAGGCUCAAUUUUCCCUCUUACCAGGAUGGGUGGGGAUUUAUAGCCAAGGAUCAAGGUGGAGUCGGUGCAUGGAAAACUAUUAAGAGAAGGAGUUCCCAUGGUGGCUCAGUGGUUAAUGAAUCCAACUAGGAACCAUGAGGUUGCGGGUUCGUUCCCUGGCCUUGCUCAGUGGGUUAAGGAUCUGGUGUUGCCGUGAGCUGUGGUGUAGGUUGCAGGCGCAGCUCAGAUCCCGCGUUGUUGUGGCUCUGGUGUAGGCCGGCAGCAACAGCUCCAAUUAGACUCCUAGCCUGGGAACCUCCAUGUGCCGAGGGAGCAGCCCUAGAAAAGGCAAAAAGACAAAAACCAAAAAACCAAAAAAAAACUAUUAAGAGAAGACAUCAAGACUAGGGGGCGAUACUUGCUAGAUAACAGGACUUUUUUUUUUUUUUUUGGCCACACCCACAGCAUGUGGAAAGUCCCAGGCCAGGGUUCAAAUCUGAGCCACAGCUGUGACAACACUGGAUCCUUAACCUACUGUUCUGGGCAGGGAAUCAAACCCUCGGCUCUGCAGCGACCUAAGCCACCUCAGAGACAAUGCUGGAUUCUUUUUUUUUUGACUUUUUGACUUUUUGCCAUUCCUUGGACCGUUCCUGCGGCAUAUGGAGGUUCCCAGGCUAGGGGUUGAAUCGGAGCUGUAGCCACCAGCCUGUGCCAGAGCCACAGCAACGAGGGAUCUGAGCCAAGUCUGCAACCUACACCACAGCUCACGGCAACGCCAGAUUCUCAACCCACUGAGCAAGGCCAGGGACCGAACCCGCAAUCUCAUGGUUCCUAGUCAGAUUCACUAACCACUGAGCCACCACGGGAACUCCCAAUGCUGGAUUCUUAACCUGCUGUUCCAUAGCGGGAACUCCCUCAACAAGAUUCUUACUGCAUGCAGACCAGGAUGAUACGUUCUUGAGGGUGGAGGAUACGAGAUUUGACCAGAUAUCAGAGUCAUCAGAUACCAAGAAUGAAGUAUACUGACUUAGUGGGAUUCUUGCCAAAACUUGACCAAAGGGGUCAAAGACAGGGCCUCAGUUGUUUAGUCAGAGGAGAGAGUCUUUGUUAUAUGUCCACAUCUAAUUGAGAAACCCUAUAUGUUUCUAGCACCCAGCUGCAAGAAAAUUUAGGUUUUAGCUUUCUGGCCUCUGCAGAAUAGGAAGCCACAUUAGAAGGUGGGAAUGAAAGCUUGGUGCCGAUUCUCCAUCCCUUCUGCAAAUUCGUGUGUAUAAGGCUAACCCUACCUUCUUGUUCAGACAUCUCAACUCUCCUUGCUUGUUUUUCUUUUUUCUUCUUAGGGCCGCACUCACAGCACAUGGAGGUUCCCAGGCUAGGGGUCGAAUCGGAGCUAGAGCUGCUGGCCUACACCACAGCCCCAGCAACACCUGGAUCUUUUAACCCACUGAGUAAGGCCAGGGAUCGAACCUGCAUCCUCAUGGAUUCUAGUCAGAUUCGUUUCCACUGCGCCACAACAGGAACUCCCAUUUGAAAUCUUAACGCCUGAUAAUGUGGAUGAACUUUGGAAACAUUAUGCUAAGUGAGGUAAGCCAAACAGAGGGCUGC